rnacentral:lncRNA from 1 species
UAGAUGAAAACUACACUUCUAAGCUCACAACACACACACACACACUCUCACACACACACACACACACACACACACACUCUCUCUCCUGUCUCACACACACACACACACUCUCUCUCCUGUCUCACACACACUCUGUUGACCUGCUGGUGUCGCUCUCUCAGGUAUGAGGAGGUAGAAGUGCGGAAAAAGCUGGAAGAGAAAGAGAGAAAGGAGGAAAAGAGUCGACGAGAAGACAGAAGUGAAAAAGAUGGCCGUGCUUCACCUCGAGGAGCCUCACAGAAGAAGGACAGUAAGAAGGUGCUGGCUUCAUCAUUUGAUCGGAUAAACUUCAGUGUAUCAUUAAACACACACUCCACUUCCUGAACCGUGCUGCUCUGACGUGAUACUGUGGGAAAGGAAGCAUCAGCGCCAAGGAUCUGUUCCAGCUGAUGAAGGAUCCCAGUAUAAGUGUGCUGGUGAUGGACGCGCGGAGCAGACAGGACUUCCAGGAGUCUCAGAUCUGUGUCCCGUCUCAGACCUGCAUCAGUGUUCCUGAGGAGGCCAUCAGUCCGGGGUCAGACACACACACACAUAUAUAUAUAUACACACACACACACACACACACAUAUAUACAGAGACACAUACACACACACACACACACACACACACACUACACGAGACUCUUACUGUCAUGAGUUGACUGUCUUCUCACUCUUUUCUCUGUCUUCAGUCCAUGUGGAUCGAGCGAACCACAUUCAUAACUGCUUACAAACUACCAGGAAUCCUGCGCUGGUUUGAGGCCACAAGCAUGACCCACGUGAGUCUCUGUUCCUGUCCAUCACAAUGAAAUUCUUCAGAACACUAGUGUACUGCAUCCUGUGCAGUGUAUACUGGAUAGGGCCUUUUCAUCAGUAUGUAGUAUACGCAACAGUAAACAUAAAACAGUAGGAUGUGUCAUUGUCACAUGACCUCAUGUAUAUGUAUACAAUUAUGGUAAUGCAUCGGUAUUCAGUUUUAUGUCAGAAAUAAAUUAAUAUUUUGCAUUUUUAAUGUAAUUUUGAUGUAUUAACCUUUCUCUGUGGCCAAAUUCAGAAAAACAUACAGUGAUCUAUUUUGUAUUUAUUCAUUUCACAAAAUUAUUAAUCUUUUUUUUUAGAUAAUAAGGUGUUAUUUAUUGCUGUCUUUUAAAAACAGAAAUGACACAGUAACCAAUAAUACAGCACAAAAUAAUAAUAAUAAAGACAAACAAAAGUUGGCUCUGUAAAAAUCCAUGUCAGUACUUCCCUGAUUAAAUCACUAAUGAAAGUAGAUCACAGAAGUAUGUAGUGUUUUCAGCUGAGCUGAGGCAGAGAACUGGAAACAUGGUGAAGAAAAAAAAUCUUGUUGGUUUAUGACUUAUAAAUAAUAUUAUAAAAGGGAUAAUAAAUAAUGUUAAUGAACUGAAGCAUUAUUAAUAUAAGAUUACUAACAUUAUCCCAUGGGAAAAAAUUAAUAAUGAGGGAAAUAAACUAAACUAUUAUUGUAAUCAAUUGCCAUCCAUAUGUAUCCAUUUUAAUAAUCUUUAUAAUAAUUCAUAUGAUUUUAUUUUACAUGUGGCCUGAGAAGAUCAUGUCUAUAUUUUGGUUUGUGAGAUCGCGCUGCGCACACAAACUUGUGAACGCUUCCCCUCGACUCUUCUCAAUAAA